ensembl:misc_RNA 7SK 7SK RNA
GGAUGUGAGGCUGGCUAGGUGGGUGUCGCCUUCCUCCCUCACCACUUCACAUAUAUCCCUCUUGAAGCUGUGUGCUCGGUCAAAGAGGACAACUUUCCCUGAUAGAGAAGGACCGUUCUUCAGUUACAGGCAUGCAAAUAACUGCACUCCCUUUGGGAGGUGAUUAGGUCAUAACGGUGGAGCUCUGCUGAUUGGGGUUCAUGCCCUUUUGA